rnacentral:rRNA from 1 species
GACGUAGGAUGCGAGCGUUGUUCGGAAUUACUGGGCGUAAAGCGCACGUAGGCGGCUUUGUAAGUUAGAGGUGAAAGCCCGGGGCUCAACUCCGGAACUGCCUUUAAGACUGCAUCGCUUGAAUCCAGGAGAGGUGAGUGGAAUUCCGAGUGUAGAGGUGAAAUUCGUAGAUAUUCGGAAGAACACCAGUGGCGAAGGCGGCUCACUGGACUGGUAUUGACGCUGAGG